GUGUUAUGCUUGUAAACUGCAGAUGGCUCAUUAAAUCAGUGACAAUUAAUUUGAUGAUCGCUUUCACCAAGAUGGGAGCACGUCUGAAAUGGAUAACUGUAGUAAUUCUAGAGCUAAUACAUGCGUGAAGCCAAGCCUGGAAGCGAUUUUGGGCGAGGUGUAUUUAUUAGCGUGAAACGAAACCGAGCGGAGAUUGCCAACUGGCGAUUGAAAGCCGAGGAAUCGAAAUAAACCCAGCGGCGGGUAUGAUGAUAAAAAAUGAUGCUCGUCUGGAACCGAUCGCCCAAGCAGCCUGAAGCCCUAAUUAAUGGGGCUCGGGCGUGGCGACAGGUCAUUCAGAUUUCUGCCCUAUCACCUUUCCACGGUACUGUAGUGGACUACCGUGGCGGCGACGGGUAACCGAGAAUUAGGGAUCGAUUCCGGAAAGGGAGCCUGAGAAAUGGCUACCACAUCCCACGAAGGCAGCAAGCGCGUAAAUUACCCAAUUCUGACACUCAGAGGUAGUGACGAGAAAUAACGAUACCGGGGCAAUUCUUUCAAACAAACUCUGGUACUCGGAAUGACAACCAUGUAAAUCGCUUAACCAGGAACGAUU
rnacentral:rRNA from 1 species